AUUGAACGCUGGCGGCAUGCUUUACACAUGCAAGUCGAACAGCAGCGCGGGCUUCGGCCUGGCGGCGAGUGGCGAACGGGUGAGUAAUGCAUCGGAACGUGCCCAGUAGUGGGGGAUAGCCCGGCGAAAGCCGGAUUAAUACCGCAUACGACCUGAGGGUGAAAGCGGGGGACCGAAAGGCCUCGCGCUAUUGGAGCGGCCGAUGUCGGAUUAGCUAGUUGGUGGGGUAAAGGCUUACCAAGGCGACGAUCCGUAGCUGGUCUGAGAGGAAGACCAGCCACACUGGGACUGAGACACGGCCCAGACUCCUACGGGAGGCAGCAGUGGGGAAUUUUGGACAAUGGGGGCAACCCUGAUCCAGCCAUGCCGCGUGCGGGAAGAAGGCCUUCGGGUUGUAAACCGCUUUUGUUCGGGAAGAAAUCCUCUGGGCUAAUACCCCGGGGGGAUGACGGUACCGGAAGAAUAAGCACCGGCUAACUACGUG
rnacentral:rRNA from 1 species